GUGGCGUUAGCUCAAUUGGUAGAGCAUUGGGUUGUGAUCCCAAAGGUCAUCGGUUCGAUCCCGAUACGUCACCCCA
rnacentral:tRNA from 1 species